AGCCAGCUCUGGUUUUGGGCCUGUUGCGUGACAUUGGGAAAUUUCCCUUCCAUUCUUUACGAACUUAGAAGAAGUGCCAGAUGGCUCUACGUCUUCCAGCAUCCCCCCUCCUAAUGGAGGGUCACAGAGUCCCCCUGCUGCAGCUGGGCAUUUGAUCUCUUCACUUGUCACAUGCCUCUGCCUAUCAGGGAAACAAAUUCCUCCUCUCCAGCAAACAGGUUGGGCCCCCACACACACCAGGUUUCCUGGUCAGAGAGCAGCACAUCUUAGCCUUUAUUUCUUGCUGUCACUGUAGACUGCCAUUUAUUUCCACCACCGAGAUAAGGUCCCAUCUGAAAUGAAAUGUCAGCAGGACAAGAAAGAGACCUGUUCCCAUUGUAGAAAUGAGGAAAAGUCUCUGAGAGGUUAAACAGUUCAGCACGACUUGCAGUGGCAGGGCCAGAAUUCAGACAACAGGGCAGGUUUCUGCGUCUCAUCUCUGCUUAAUCAACAUUAGCAUCUUCUGGUCAAAAACUGCUGCCAGCUGGGCAGCAAUUGGUCAUUUAAUUGAAGAAACUCAUUUUGGUGAAAUCUGGUGCAUUGAGAAAAAUCUUCAGCCAACUUUUCUGACAGGUGUUUCCUACCACAUACCUGGAAACCUUCCCAGGUAGGUAAAGGUUCCCCGGUGGUUCCAUCGUCCCUCAUCAUCUGAGUAUGUAUCUGGGGACCUUGAAUGGUGUCCAGACUCAGUAUGAGGCUCCUUACAGUACUUGCCAUCACCACUGCUCCAGCCCAGAGAAACAGGUCAGGCUGCAGCUGGGAAUGCCUCUGCAUGCUCAGAACAGCGAGACAGCACCAGAUUGUAACCCUAAACUGAAAUCGGGUCCCACUUUGAUCCAUGAAGACUAAACCAGUAGCUCUGCCAGUGAUUUCCCAGAGGUUGGGGUCACAGCUGAUGAACCUCGGGGCACCCAUGUCACUCCCUGCUGCCUGUGUGCUGCUGUGACCCUAGCUGGAUUCUAAUGGAUCUGUCUGAGCCCAGUCACCGGCACAGGCUCCCCACUGUGUGGCAGGCACCUCGAAGGAGUUGAGGGGGCCCCAAGUGAGUGGAAUGCUCCCACUGGGGCCUUGCAGAGAAAGUCAUGACAAGUGAUGGGUUCCUGCUCUGUUGGGAAUAUUUCUUCCUUGGGUUCUGGCAGCUUUCUCUUGGCUGCAGAAUAUCUAAG
ensembl:lncRNA